rnacentral:tRNA from 1 species
GAGUGUAUGUUCAGUGAUAGAACCCUCACCUUCCAUGUGGGAGACCUGGGUUUGAUUCCCAGUGGACGUA